rnacentral:rRNA from 1 species
GGGGAAUAUUGGACAAUGGGCGAAAGCCUGAUCCAGCCAUGCCGCAUGUGUGCAGAAGGCCUUCGGAUUGUAUAGCACGUUAAGUUGGGAGGAAGGGUUUCUGGCUAAUAUCCAGGAAUUAUGACGUUACCGACAGAAUAAGCACCGGCUAACUUCGUGCCAGCAGCCGCGGUAAUACGAAGGGUGCAAGCGUUAAUCGGAAUUACUGGGCGUAAAGCGCGCGUAGGUGGUUCGUUAAGUUGGAUGUGAAAGCCCCGGGCUCAACCUGGGAACUGCAGUCCAAACUGGCGGGCUACAGUAUGGCAGAGGGUGGUGGAAUUUCCUGUGUAGCGGUGAAAUGCGUAGAUAUAGGAAGGAACACCAGCGGCGAAGGCGACCACCUGGGCUAAUACUGACACUGAGGUGCGAAAGCGUGGUGAGCAAACA